rnacentral:rRNA from 1 species
AUACGAAAGGUGCAAGCGUUGUUCGGAUUUACUGGGCGUAAAGAGAGUGUAGGUUGUUUAUUAAGUCGGAUGUGAAAUCCCGGGGCUCAACCUCGGAACUGCAUUCGAUACUGAUAGGCUAGAGUUCGGGAGGGGUAAGCGGAAUUCCGUGUGUAGCAGUGAAAUGCGUAGAUAUACGGAGGAACACCUGAGGCGAAGGCGGCUUACUGGACCGAUACUGACACUGAGACUCGAAAGCGUGGGUAGCAAACAGGAUUAGAAACCCCGGUAGUCC